rnacentral:lncRNA from 1 species
UUCAUUUCACAGUGGAGUUCCCCGACUCACUGAACCCAGAACAGUGCAAGGCCCUGGAGGCUGUCCUUCCCCCCAGGACUUCGGCACAACUUACCGACAUGGAGUUGGAUGAAUGUGAGGAGACCACGCUGCAUGAUGUAAACAUAGAGGAGGAAAUGCGUCGAAAGCAAGCACAUGCGCAAGAGGCAUAUGACGAGGAUGAGGACAUGCAUGGUGGUGCCCAAAGGGUCCAAUGUGCUCAGCAAUGAUUAGAUUAAGCAAGCUUUAUGAAGUUAUUUGAGAAAAAUAAAAGUUAUCGGCACCGUGGUCUGUUGGUCUAGCUUCCCAGUGUUUAUUUCUGGUUUGGUGUGUGAAUCCGAAACUUCUUCGGAACAAUAGCUGUUAAGGAGAUGCUUAUUCUACUUAAACGUGGUUUGGUCUGUUGGUCUGUUGUUGAAUGCUAAGAAUUUGUUCUGCUGCUUUUGUUCUGCUGUUAAAAUGGCGAAUUUGCACACCGUAACAUAGCAUCAAUUUGAAAGAGGUUAUGUGUAGCAAGGUCCCUCAGCUGACUGGUAUAUCUUUGGUCCGUGCGGCUUGAGCUUAUAACCUAUAACCUUAAAUAACCGAUUACGUAAUGCUCUGUUUAGUUACAAGCUCAUGUCACUAGGAUCGACAAUAUCAAAGUAUGAAGUUAAAAUCCUUUUAUUUACGAACCCCAUAUGCAUCUAGUGCUGGUAGGAUGGUUCAAUACAAUUUUGGAACUAUAGACACGAUUUUUAUUGGUGCAUAUCUUUUUGUCCAUAUAGCUCGAUAAAGUUCUUGUUCCACUAUAAAACAAAUUACUAAUACGAGGAAUAACUCAACUUUUAAUAAAUACCUAUUGAGAUUUUUGAUUAUCCGAUAUGAAAUUCGUACUUUUAAUAGUUUGGUCCAUUGCUUAUUUUAGGUUUCUACAGUUUGACUCCACUUUAAUUUUUGUUGAGUGGUUGUGCUUGUUAUUUUUGUGUUGUACUAAUAAAAUAGAGUAAAUUGUAGUAAUGGUCCUUUAACUUUAAUCAAAUUGGUGCAAUGAUCUCUCAACUAAAAAUUUAUUACCAUUGAUCCCUCAACUCAUCAGAACGUGUAGCUAUGGUCAUUUUCAUCAACUUCGUUAUAAUUUUGUCAAAAUGAGUUAUGUUGGAAGGACUAUUGUUACAAUUUACUCAAUAAAAUAAAUUGUAGCUCUAAUUAAUUUUUCUUGUAAAGUAUUGAGGUCGAAGUGUUUUUUUUCUUUCAGUUAAAGACAUUUUUGUCUUUAAAGUGAAUGUUAUCAAGAGUUUAUGGUACGUGAGAGAGGUCCAUUUUUUAUGUUAAAAAAAAAGGACUAUAACAAAGAAAGUUAGAACUUUCAAAAGUUGAUGACCUCAACUAGGAUUGUAGUCAAAAUCAAGAAACGUUUUAGUAUACACCGAGGUAUUUUAUACUUUGUAGAUUUAAACUUUAAACCGAUAUAUCUUUGGACAAAGGUACAAUGAUCAAGAUUUAACGAUUAAAAUUCUCAAAGUGUAGAUACUCCAAAACAUCAUAGAUCUUUCGUAGAAUCGAUUGGAUCUCCCAAAUAGUACAAACAGUUCCACCAAUAAAAAGCAAUGCUAUAUGUUAUUGAAAGGAUUGAGUGAGUAAAAGACCCAUGUAUGUCAUAACCAAAUUCUUGUCUGCCCAUGUUUGGAUCCAAGUACUCCAAACAGGAUCUUCAAUCCUCUAAUCUAAUAUCAAUAAAGCAGUCAAAUUAUUCUGGUUAAGGUUUAGAAAGAAAUUAAAUACAUAAACUCUGCUAUCCUAAGAAAACAACUUAAAUCUAGUUAAAUUAUUUUCCUAGA